UUNUGAACUGGGUGACUAGAGUGUGUCAGAGGGAGGUAGAAUUNCACGUGUAGCAGUGAAAUGCGUAGGGAUGUGGAGGAAUACCGAUGGCGAAGGCAGCCUCCUGGGAUAACACUGACGUUCAUGCUCGAAAGCGUGGGUAGCAAACAGGAUUAGAUACCCUGGUAGUCCACGCCCUAAACGAUGUCAAUUAGCUGUUGGGCAACUUGAUUGCUUAGUAGCGUAGCUAACGCGUGAAAUUGACCGCCUGGGGAGUACGGUCGCAAGAUUAAAACUCAAAGGAAUUGACGGGGACCCGCACAAGCGGUGGAUGAUGUGGAUUAAUUCGAUGCAACGCGAAGAACCUUACCUGGUCUUGACAUGUACGGAAUCCUCCAGAGACGGAGGAGUGCCUUCGGGAGCCGUAACACAGGUGCUGCAUGGCUGUCGUCAGCUCGUGUCGUGAGAUGUUGGGUUAAGUCCCGCAACGAGCGCAACCCUUGUCAUUAGUUGCCAUCAUUAAGUUGGGCACUCUAAUGAGACUGCCGGUGACAAGCCGGAGGAAGGUGGGGAUGACGUCAAGUCCUCAUGGCCCUUAUGACCAGGGCUUCACACGUCAUACAAUGGUCGGUACAGAGGGUAGCCAAGCCGCGAGGCGGAGCCAAUCUCACAAAACCGAUCGUAGUCCGGAUUGCACUCUGCAACUCGAGUGCAUGAAGUCGGAAUCGCUAGUAAUCGCAGGUCAGCAUACUGCGGUGAAUACGUUCCCGGGUCUUGUACA
rnacentral:rRNA from 1 species